rnacentral:rRNA from 1 species
ACGGGAGGCAGCAGUGGGGAAUAUUGCACAAUGGGGGAAACCCUGAUGCAGCGACGCCGCGUGAGUGAAGAAGUAUUUCGGUAUGUAAAGCUCUAUCAGCAGGGAAGAUAAUGACGGUACCUGACUAAGAAGCACCGGCUAAAUACGUGCCAGCAGCCGCGGUAAUACGUAUGGUGCAAGCGUUAUCCGGAUUUACUGGGUGUAAAGGGAGCGUAGACGGCUGUGCAAGUCUGAAGUGAAAGCCCCGGGCCCGACUCGGGAACUGCUUUGGAAACUGUGCAGCUAGAGUGCAGGAGAAGUAAGUGGAAUACCUAGUGUAGCGGUGAAGUGCUUAGAUAUUAGGAGGAACACCAGUGGCGAAGGCGGCUUACUGGACUGUAACUAACGUUGAGGCUCGAAAGCGUGGGGAGCAAACAGGAUUAGAUACCCUGGUA